UUCGUUGGUGAGAACUUGCGCUUUCGAUGGAUAUUAUGAUCAAUCUUUUGUAAGAUGUUCAUUGACAAUGGACAAAUUAGUUACCAAACAGUGAAAAAGUGAGGAUAGCAUCAGAGCUAACGAUCUAAACGAUUAGCAAUUUUCAUUGAUAUUGGUAAGGCCAGACAAAACGUUCGACUGAAAGGGAAAUAUCACUCUAAAUAUAAAUAUUGGAAUUAUUACUCGGGACUUUUUUGUACGAACGAAUAUGAAAAUUAACCGCGACGUAGGCAUCGGCGUGGGCAAACAAUUGAGGAUUCCUCGACGUUCACGAGUACCUGUAGAAUCCUCGCUAGUGCGAACAUGAAAGAUAGAGAAUGGAAAAGCGCGAAGGGACACUGGAACACUCCCGGUGAGGUCUACUAAUGAGAACCUCCGUAGGACAUUCGUCUUUCAUGCCGGACACGUUGACACAUUUCUGCCUCUCGGCCGGAAUGGAACAAGACGCACAACUGGCCAAGCAUCUGCCACGCGACAGUCGCUGUCUCCUCACUUCCGAAACAAGCGCUUUAGCCAGUUGACGCGUGAUAUUCCGGUGCAGUAUUCGCUUGUCUUAUUCGGUAAUUUAUGUGUUUCCUUAUCGCCAGCGUUGAGAUGAAUUCCGUGGCAAUUACUGAGCAAUAACACCUUCUAACGUUUAAGCAAUUGUCCCGUCAGUUAACUUGAAUAUCGAUACGAUUGAUUUCACUUUUUAACGAUUUGUAAUUAUAAUCUGCAAGUUAAAACUUCACGAAUGCUGCGCUUUCUAAAUACUCUCUGACAAAGUGGAAGGUAUUUGUAGAUUUAUACGACUGUGUUUGAACUGUGUUACUUACUUAAAAUACGUGAAAAUUAAAUUAAUUCGUGCUGUUGUCAAAGACAUGGCACGCGCGCCAGCACCGUCGGCUAAAGACAAUACAGGAUUAUUCCCGGGCAAAAGAUGUCCUAGCCGAGAUAUAAUUUCUCUUUAUUGGAUGCAACGCGUCGUUCCCGGGAGAAUGAAAGUAAGGAAAUAAAGCCAAAAUUCUUUUGAUAUCGGAGCAUAUCGCAAGUAGAAAGAUAAACGCGGGACAAAGGGGUAAGUUUUCUGGUGAAAUGUCUCACCCUUGAACUAAACUGGCGAGCAGUAUUAGCCAGCGGCAUCUUGAUAUCAUCCGCGGAGAACUUGCCAACUCCUUUAUACAGACAUUUAUUUCCAAGGCAUAUCUGUUACAGCCAAGUGGCGGUCUCGCAGAUUGUACUACUUUGCUUUGCGCCGACCCAUUCUGCCUCCCCUCCUCCACCGAGGGACUUGGAAGAACCAAGGAAAACAUAAUCUAAAAUGGAAGAGGUAGCCGUACAUUGUCCUAAAGCGCCCUCUAGUUCCUCUGGCGACCUCUCCGGCUUUAUGCCAGCGAGAACAGCCAACUAUACGCCACGCAAGAAAACACAAACUUUAUACGUUACGGUGAAACUACCGCAUCGAGGGGAACAAAAGACCCGCGCGGAGACAUUACGAAAGAGGAAAAUACGUGGCGGCGAGCUGCUGCAAGGGCUCAUAAAGAGGGAACAUGGAGUGCCAGUAUAACGUCGAGGACAACGUUUACACGAACGCCUUCCUCGCCAUUUUUUCCUUAAAUCGUUUCGUCAGCUAACUUUUAUAAUGUCUUAACGCUAAUUCUCGCGAUAACAAAAUACGCACAAAAUGUUUCAAAGCGUAGUGGUUGUACUAUAUUAGCAACAUGACGUCCUACAUUACCGAUCUUAAUAAAGGAGGAAU